UACGUAGGGUGCGAGCGUUGUCCGGAAUUAUUGGGCGUAAAGAGCUUGUAGGCGGUUUGUCGCGUCUGCUGUGAAAAUCCGGGGCUCAACCUCGGACUUGCAGUGGGUACGGGCAGACUAGAGUGUGGUAGGGGAGACUGGAAUUCCUGGUGUAGCGGUGGAAUGCGCAGAUAUCAGGAGGAACACCGAUGGCGAAGGCAGGUCUCUGGGCCACUACUGACGCUGAGAAGCGAAAGCAUGGGGAGCGAACAGG
rnacentral:rRNA from 1 species